rnacentral:rRNA from 1 species
GACGAACGCUGGCGGCGUGCUUAACACAUGCAAGUCGAACGGUGAAGCUCCAGCUUGCUGGAGUGGAUCAGUGGCGAACGGGUGAGUAACACGUGAGCAACCUGCCCCUGACUCUGGAAUAAGCGCUGGAAACGGCGUCUAAUACUGGAUACGAGAAGGGUCCGCAUGGGCACUUUCUGGAAAGUUUUUCGGUUGGGGAUGGGCUCGCGGCCUAUCAGCUUGUUGGUGAGGUAAUGGCUCACCAAGGCGACGACGGGUAGCCGGCCUGAGAGGGCGACCGGCCACACUGGGACUGAGAAACGGCCCAGACUCAUACGGGAGGCAGCAGUGGGGAAUAUUGCACAAUGGGCGAAAGCCUGAUGCAGCGACGCCGCGUGAGGGAUGACGGCCUUCGGGUUGUAAACCUCUUUCAGCAGGGAAGAAGCGAAAGUGACGGUACCUGCAGAAGAAGCACCGGCUAACUAAGUG